rnacentral:rRNA from 1 species
UACAGAGGUCUCAAGCGUUGUUCGGAUUCAUUGGGCGUAAAGGGUGCGUAGGUGGCGUGGUAAGUCGGGUGUGAAAUUUCGGAGCUUAACUCCGAAACUGCAUUCGAUACUGCAGUGCUUGAGGACUGGAGAGGAGACUGGAAUUUACGGUGUAGCAGUGAAAUGCGUAGAGAUCGUAAGGAAGACCAGUGGCGAAGGCGGGUCUCUGGACAGUUCCUGACACUGAGGCACGAAGGCCAGGGGAGCAAACGGG